rnacentral:rRNA from 1 species
AUGGCCGGGAUCGACGGCGCCGGGGACGCCUCCGCCGCGCGGCUGCCCGAGUUGACGCCCGCGGAGCGCGUCGAGCAGAAGCUGAUCGCCUGUGGAGUUCCGGAAGAGCAGCUGCGGGAGGACCACCAGGAAGGCCUGCUCAUGUACUUGGAGGAGCACGCCGAUAAGAUUUCUGAGGUCACGGCGGCCAUCUUGUCAGCGGGCACCGACAUAUCGGAGGCCCGCAAGUCCUUGAAGAAGGAUGAAGACAGCAGCGGCGGCAGCGACCGUGAUGCGUACAGCGAGAGCUUGUCGUGGUUGCAGUGGAUGAUGUUCCGCAACGAGCCGGAUGCAGUGCUUGAUGACAUGGAGCAUAGCAGCGCGGGAGAGCGUGCUGUCUGCGGGUCUGUCUGGGGGCAGAACGACCUCGCUUACCGCUGCCGGACCUGCGAAAACGACUCCACAUGCGCCAUCUGUGUUCCAUGCUUCCAGAAUGGUAACCACGAGGAUCAUGAUUACUCCAUCAUGUAUACAGGUGGUGGAUGUUGUGACUGCGGGGAUGCUACUGCCUGGAAGCGUGAAGGGUUCUGCUCGAGGCACAAGGGGGCUGAACAGAUUAAGCCUCUUUCCGAGGAGCUUGCGAGCUCUGUGGGGCCUGUGUUGGAUGAGCUCUUGCUCUUCUGGAAGGAGAGGAUUUGUCUGGUGGAAGCCCCAACUCGGAAGGCUGACGAGGGUACCCCCUGCAAGAGUGUUGCUGAGGAGUUGACGACUUCUAUUGCUGACAUGCUGCUUCGCUUCUGCACCUCUAGUGAAAGUCUUCUUAGUUUUGUGUCCCAAAGGAUCCGUGAGUCACCAGAUCUCUUGGAUGCAUUGACGAGGGCGGAAAGGUUGCUGGACAAGGAAGUUCUGAAAAAUUUGCAUGAGCUGCUAUUGAAACUUAUCACUGAACCAGCUUUUAAGUACGAGUUUGCCAAAGUUUUCAUACAGUACUAUCCUGGUACAUUUUCUCAAGUUAUUAAAGGGAACAAUGAUAAUCUGCUGGACGAGUAUCGACUGAUACCGACCUUUUCUGUCCAAAUAUUUACCGUGCCUACGCUGACUACAAGGCUUGUGCGGGAGCACAAUUUGUUGGGUAUUCUUCUUGAAUGUUUGACAGUUCUAUUUCUUUCUUGCGUUGGUGAGGAUGCUCAUUUACAGACAAGCAAAUGGGGAAAUUUGUAUGAUUCUUCUCUUAGAUUAUUGGAAGAUACACGCUAUGUCGUGAGCCAUGAGGAGGUUUCCAAGUAUGUUGCUUAUGAGAGGCCUGAUCUAACAAGGUCAUGGAUUAAGCUAUUGUCACUUGUGCAAGGAAUGGAUCCUCAGAAGAGAGUGACAAGUAUUCAUGUUGAAGAUGAGAAUGAGAAUCUAGCUUCGCCUUUCAUGCUAGGACAUUAUCUUGGGAUCAUUCAGAAUCUUUUGAUGAAGGGAGCCUUUUCUUCUCCUGGGCAACAAGAGUCAACUGAUGUUACUGUAUGCUCCACUGCGAUAAAAGGCAUGGAAAAUGCCGAGAAUCAGCGUCAUGCUAAAGUUGGAAGGGUGAACUUGGUAUGCAAUUCAAGUACCAGAGAGAGUUCUUCGAGCAGUGAAUUACCAGCACCUGCUACCUGUUUAAUUCGUCAGUGCUUGAAAGCUAUUGAGAGCUGGCUGGAACCGGGUCCUCGGAGGAGAAAGUUGUCGUCCCUCGAUGCUAGCAGCACUGAUGCUCGCAAUUUUCUGGCCUUGCUUGAAGACACUUUGACUAUUAACAAAGGUGGAUCAAGUAAACAGAUUGGUGAUGUGGGCAUGAAGGUGAAUGAAGGAUCCCAAAUAGACGAUGCUGCAGAUUAUCAUGAAGUGGUCGGUUCUCCUGCCCAAGAAUCCGACGACAUGAUGCUGAUAGAUCAAGUAGGAUCGCCUCAGGCUGGAAAUGACGCGGGCAAGGGAAAGAUGAACGAAAGUAGCAAUGGAUUAGAUGUACAAUUACACUCUGAAAAUGCCAUUUCUGUUGCUCUGACCGAUGGCAGCCUUCUAUACGCUCACCCAGAUUCAAGAAUUGAUGAACUAGGAAUACUGAACAUGACAAGCUGGCCUCGUGUUGUCUUUGAUGUCGGUUCACAAGAAACAUCUUUUCAUAUCCCAUUACACCGUAUGCUUUCUUUACUAUUGCGUAAAGCAAUGAAGAAAUGUUUCGGAGAGGAUGCCAAACCAGAGGAAUGUUCAGUUGUGCAGUCCAAGGAGUUUUUCUCUCAGGUACUUGGAGGUUUCAAGCCUUAUGGGUUUGCUUCAAUUGUAAUGGAGCAUCCAUUAAGAGUGAGAGUAUUUUGCGCACAAGUGCGUGCUGGAAUGUGGCGUAAGAACGGAGAUGCAGCUAUACUGAGUGCUGAGUGGUACCGCUCUGUGCAAUGGCUUGAACAGGGCUUGGAGUCGGAUCUGUUUCUGCUGCAAUGCUGUGCUGCAUUAUCUUCUCCAGAGUUCUUUGUGAAGACCAUUCAAGAAAGAUUUGGUUUGUCGAAUUAUAUAUCUCUGGUUCUCACGGAACAGAAUGAAUAUGAGCCAGUUCUGAUGCAAGAAAUGCUAGUUUUUCUUAUACAACUAGUCAAAGAACGCAGAUUUAUUGGGCGUUCGACAGCAGACAACUUGAAGAGAGAAUUGAUUUAUAAAUUGGCUGUUGGAGAUGCCACCCAUAGCCAGAUUGUGAAGUCUCUUCCCAGGGACCUUUCGUCAAGUGACCAACUUCAAAGUGUUCUAGAUUCACUCGCAGUUUACUCUAAUCCAUCUGGAAUGAAACAGGGCAAGUGUGUGCUUCGCAAAGCAUUCUGGAAGGAAUUGGACUUGUAUCACCCGCGCUGGAAUUCCAGAGAAAUACAGAUUGCUGAAGAGAGAUAUUACCGUUUUUGCAAAGUUUCUGCUCUUAACGCUCAACUACCUCAAUGGACUCAUGUUUUUAGCCCUCUGCGCAGUAUUUCUAAGAUAGCCACCUCCAAAGCUGUCCUUCAAAUUGUUCGUGCUGUUCUCUUCUAUGCUGUUUACACCGAAGCAUCAUCGGUAUCACGUGCCCCGGACAAUGUUCUUGUGAUGGGUUUGCACCUUCUUUCGUUGGCACUUGAUAUAUGUGAAUCAGAGAGUCAAAUGUAUGCAGACAAAUAUGGGAUGGACAUAGUGCAGCAUGAUGCUGAAUCAUGGGUUGUCCUGUCAUCGUAUGCAGAAGAGACUUUUCCCAUAUUGACCUACUCUACUGAAUCAGUCUCUCCAGAGUCUGACAAAGUAAAGAAUGAGAGCAUGCUAACCUUGCUUGUUUCACUAAUGCGCAAGUACAACGAAGAGAAUGACAGCACCUUUUCUGGAUCCAAGUACUGCAAUGUUCCAUCUCUAGUUGAGAGUUUGUUAAAAAGAUUUGCCAAGUUAAGUAAGCAGUGCAUGUCUACAUUAAGAGAAAUGGCACCGCAAGUAGUUCCAUCUAUUCCGGAUCAUGGUAGCACUAAACAGAAUUCUGGAUCUCCAGAUCUAAUGGACAAGAAGGCAAAAGCGCGCCAACGUCAGGCCGCAAUCAUGGCAAAAAUGAAAGCAGAGCAGUCAAAAUUUGCUGAAAGUAUGAAGGCAUCAGAAAAUGAAGGGCAUCCUGAUGCAACAUUUGAGCCAGAUGCAUCCAGUUCAACUGCCGUUGCCUCUGAGGAGAUACGACCAGUUUGCUCUCUAUGCCGGGAUUCGGAUUCCAAAAGUCCACUCUGCUAUUUGAUUCUUCUUCAGAAAUCUCGGCUUGCAACUUUUGUUGAAACGGGCAAUCCCUCCUGGGAUAAUUUGAGCCAAUCAAAGAAGACAUCUGGGUCCAUCAGACGGGAAAAAUCAACUGAUUCCUCGGGUGCUGGGUCUUCUAGUUCAGAGGAACUUGUCAGGGAUACAACGAUAGAACCUUCCUUUGAAUUAGACAGCAUGGAAGUUGACGCAUUUCUUGAUUUCUCAAAUGAGCAACAUCCACUGAUUAGAUAUAUAUCAUGUUUCCCAAGUGGACGCUGUACUGGCAAUGCAGAUGACAAUAUCUCCCUUGAGACAAUUGAGGCUGCUGUAUACAAGUCUAUCGUAAAUGAUCUGGCUGGCAUUCAAGGUGGUGAGCAGAGUUUGUCUACUUCAAAUCUCACAGCUGGCUCCAAGACAAGCACAAGCCCUAAAAGUUCUGUUCUGGGAACAUAUGUUACUUGUCUUUCAACAAAAUACCGUCUUUCUUCUUUCUGUGAUGUAGCCUCCAAAUCUUCUGCCCCAGUAACAAUAAGAAACAGAUUUGGUCCUGUUGAUUGUGAUGGCAUCCACAUCUCUUCUUGUGGACAUGCUGUACAUCAAGAAUGUCAUGAUCGAUAUUUGUUUUCCUUGAAACAAAGAUAUAUCAGGAGACUAGGUUUCGAAGGAGGUCAGAUUGUCGAUCCUGAUCUGGGAGAGUUGCUGUGUCCAGUGUGUCGCAGAUUUGCAAAUUCCAUUCUUCCGGCAUCACCGGAUUUCUCUGGUAUAACUAGGAAGGCGAUGCCAACUGCUCAAACCAUGCCUACUGAAGCUGCUGCAACUAUACAUAAUUUACAGUUCCCUCGCGCACUGGCCCUCCUUGAAAGUGCCAGAAAAAUUGUUGGACAAAGCACAUUUCUAAAAGCUUUUCCUGGGAAUGUGAAUGACACUGCGGAGCCAGCUUUAGAUCCUUCCCUUCGAAGACUCACUAUGCUUUACUAUCCUCGCAGCAAAAGCAGCUUUUCAGCAUCUGAAAGGUUAAGCCCAUCCUUGUUUCUCUGGGAAACACUUCGGUACUCUGUCGUUUCAACAGAGAUUGCUUCUCGUGAUAGAAUGUCAAGCUAUUCUACUCAAUCGAAGUCUUGCUUAGAAUCUCUGCGCAGUGAAUUGAAUUCAUCGAGUGGAUUCAUAUUGUCUCUAUUGUUUCGUGUUUCUCACUCUGCACGUGUUCUGAACCGCCGUGAGGUUCUUCUGAGAUUUGAAGGUAUCCAACUGUUAGCAGGGUCUAUUUGCUCUGGUAUUUCUGGCGAUAAAGAUCUUUUGGAUGCUACCAAGCGAAAAGGCACUUCGCUACCUAUGGUUGACCCGGAAAGUGAGGGUGAAAUAUUUCCUGAUAUUCAAUUUUGGAAGCAAUGUGCUGAUCCAAUCCUUGCUCAAGAUCCAUUUUCUUCAUUGAUGUCAGCACUUUUCUGUCUACCUGUUGAAGUUUUGACAUCCACAGAAUUCUUCAUCCCUAUUGUUCAUCUAUUCUACAUUGUUUGUGUCAUUCAGGCACUAAUAACAUGCUAUCGGGAAGAAGCCUUUGACAGAUCAAACUUCCGUAACUGCCUUCUCAACGAUGUUUGCCAGGAGAUGUCAGGAUAUGAUAUUGCUAGAGAAUAUUUUGUAUCUAAGCACAUCGAUCCCUCCUGUGAUCCAAAAGAUAUGGUACGGAGAUUAACACAUCCUUAUCUUCGGAGGUGUGCAUUGCUUUGGGAGCUGCUAAAAUCCUCUUCCUCAGCACCCUUAUAUGACAGUUCCAAUAUUUGGGAAGGGUCACAUCUUCACUUAGAUAGUAGCACAGCGGAAGGCAAUUCUUCACUGGCAAUUGAGCUGGAUGGAAUACGAGAACUGGAACACCUCUUUCAAAUUCAGCCACUGGACCUGAUUCUCAAAGAUGAGUGUGUACAUAUGCUUGCCUUAAGAUGGUCUCAACAUUUCUGUGAAGACUACAGAUCUCGCAAGUAUAGAGGCAUCCUCUUUUCUACCCCCGCGGUCCCAUUCAGGCUGAUGCAGUUACCACCUGUCUACCAAGUUCUCCUAGAAAGAUAUGUCAAGAUGCAAUGCCCUGAUUGUGGUUCAGUGCCUGAUGAGCCAGCGUUAUGUUUGCUUUGUGGCAAGCUAUGUUCACCUAGUUGGAAACCAUGCUGCAGGGCUGGUAAAUGCCUAAAUCAUGCGUCUCAGUGUGGUGCUGGUGUUGGCAUAUUUCUUUUGGUGAGGAAAACAACAAUCCUGUUGCAACGAUCGGCUCGUCUUGCAUUUUGGCCAUCUUUGUACCUUGAUGCUUUCGGUGAGGAGGAUCAUGAAAUGCACAGAGGAAAGCCCUUGUAUCUUAGCCAAGAAAGAUACGCAGCCCUGACAUAUCUGGUGGCAUCUCAUAGCCUUGACCGGACUUCUGAAGUUCUGCGGCAAACAACCAUCAGCUUUUAUACAUCCGAUUAA